AAGUUAGAGCUUCGGUUUUAACUUUAGUGGCGAACGGGUGAGUAACGCGUGAGGAACCUGCCUUUCAGUGGGGGACAACAGUUGGAAACGACUGCUAAUACCGCAUGAUGCCUUUUGGGAGACAUCUCCUGAAAGUCAAAGCUUCAUGCGCUGAAAGAUGGCCUCGCGUCUGAUUAGCUAGUUGGUGAGGUAACGGCUCACCAAGGCGACGAUCAGUAGCCGGUCUGAGAGGUUGAACGGCCACAUUGGGACUGAGACACGGCCCAGACUCC
rnacentral:rRNA from 1 species